rnacentral:lncRNA from 1 species
GCAGCAGGUGGUACCUUCUGAGCACAUCCAGGAGUAGUGCCAUUCCAAUCAGUCCAGGUAGCAAAGGCCUGCGGUGAUGUCCGCGAAGCUUCAGACGUUUGGAAGCCUGCUGCCUGGAGAGAGCAGACUGAGUCCUUGUUUCUGGAUGGAGGACGAAGCAAGGGAAGGAUCAGUCGAGAGGAGCACUUGGUGUGUGCAGGAAAGGAGAGGGUCAUUAUGGAGUCUCCUGGGAUCUCAGCAAACCAGGGAAAGGGGCCAGGACUUCCAUUACCCAGGAAGGUCAAGAAAGCCAGCAGAAGAACUGGGUUCCGGCAUUUGCACCUCAAACUUGUGCUCCUAUCAUCCGAUGGUGACAACCCAUCUGAUUCUGUGUGUGCAGCUGGCAUUGGCUCUGCCAAGCUGCAGCUGGGAGCUGACUGGAUGAGACAGUGACAAGACGAGAGGGCCUCACUUACAGCAUGUGGGAAGGAGGGGUAUAAAUUGGACAUUCAGGCUCUAAGGGCUGCUAAUAGUGAAAGGAGUAACUACAGCCUCUGUUUAGGGGGUCAUAUCCAAGGUGAUGCUGCGCCACCCUUCGCUUUCAUAGUGCUCCCCACCUGCUCCUCCCUCAUGACUUGCUUGGGAGCCCACACUCCCCAGGCCACAAAGACAAGAAAAGGAGCAGGCACAUCUCUGCCUGUCUGCAGGUUAAGGACUCCUUAGUGGGUUCCUAGUGAGUGGUAAGUGGCAGGCAUGUUUUACAACCCCAGAUUAAAGGCUCCUUCCAUAUAUGUUUAUGUUUUAUGUCACUCAGAUUUCGUUUUUCUGUGAGUAAAAUGCAAGUUGAGUUUGGCAAUCAAGGCCACCAUAACCAUAUUACUUAGCUGUGGUUGGUGUCUUCAAUAUAUGCCACCCUUCUCCACCCUGCUCCCUGCCACAGGGCCUCUGACUUCUGUUGGGUUCAGCUACUUGGGAGCUCCAGAGGGAUAUCUGAGUGAGGGGAGUAUGAUGACAGGGUGUUUAUUCCUUUGGGUCUAAGCGUGAUUCUGACUUUAUGAGACUGAAGCUUGCAAUUCUAUUGGUCCACAAAUAUCAGAGAUACAACUGCUUUCAAUAGUAUAUGCUCUGACUCUUUAUGUCACAACUUUGUAAAUAAAAUUUUUUAGAAAAAGAAGGGAAAUAUAAUC